rnacentral:tRNA from 1 species
UGAGGCGUCGUCUAAUGGUAGGACAGCGGACUCUGGAUCCGCCGGUGGAGGUUCGAAUCCUCCCGCCUCAGCCA